rnacentral:rRNA from 1 species
GAACGCUAGCUACAGGCUUAACACAUGCAAGUCGAGGGGCAUCAGGAAGAAAGCUUGCUUUCUUUGCUGGCGACCGGCGCACGGGUGAGUAACACGUAUCCAACCUGCCCUUUACUCGGGGAUAGCCUUUCGAAAGAAAGAUUAAUACCCGAUAGCAUAAUGAUUCCGCAUGGUUUCAUUAUUAAAGGAUUCCGGUAGAGGAUGGGGAUGCGUUCCAUUAGGUUGUUGGUGAGGUAACGGCUCACCAAGCCUUCGAUGGAUAGGGGUUCUGAGAGGAAGGUCCCCCACAUUGGAACUGAGACACGGUCCAAACUCCUACGGGAGGCAGCAGUGAGGAAUAUUGGUCAAUGGGCGCUAGCCUGAACCAGCCAAGUAGCGUGAAGGAUGAAGGCUCUAUGGGUCGUAAACUUCUUUUAUAUAAGAAUAAAGUGCAGUAUGUAUACUGUUUUGUAUGUAUUAUAUGAAUAAGGAUCGGCUAACUCCGUGCCAGCAGCCGCGGUAAUACGGAGGAUCCGAGCGUUAUCCGGAUUUAUUGGGUUUAAAGGGAGCGUAGGUGGACUGGUAAGUCAGUUGUGAAAGUUUGCGGCUCAACCGUAAAAUUGCAGUUGAUACUGUCAGUCUUGAGUACAGUAGAGGUGGGCGGAAUUCGUGGUGUAGCGGUGAAAUGCUUAGAUAUCACGAAGAACUCCGAUUGCGAAGGCAGCUCACUGGACUGCAACUGACACUGAUGCUCGAAAGUGUGGGUAUCAAACAGGAUUAGAUACCCUGGUAGUCCACACAGUAAACGAUGAAUACUCGCUGUUUGCGAUAUACAGUAAGCGGCCAAGCGAAAGCAUUAAGUAUUCCACCUGGGGAGUACGCCGGCAACGGUGAAACUCGAAGGAAUUGACGGGGGCCCGCACAAGCGGAGGAACAUGUGGUUUAAUUCGAUGAUACGCGAGGAACCUUACCCGGGCUUAAAUUGCAGUGGAAUGAUGUGGAAACAUGUCAGUGAGCAAUCACCGCUGUGAAGGUGCUGCAUGGUUGUCGUCAGCUCGUGCCGUGAGGUGUCGGCUUAAGUGCCAUAACGAGCGCAACCCUUAUCUUUAGUUACUAACAGGUUAUGCUGAGGACUCUAGAGAGACUGCCGUCGUAAGAUGUGAGGAAGGUGGGGAUGACGUCAAAUCAGCACGGCCCUUACGUCCGGGGCUACACACGUGUUACAAUGGGGGGUACAGAAGGCAGCUAGCGGGUGACCGUAUGCUAAUCCCAAAAGCCUCUCUCAGUUCGGAUCGAAGUCUGCAACCCGACUUCGUGAAGCUGGAUUCGCUAGUAAUCGCGCAUCAGCCACGGCGCGGUGAAUACGUUCCCGGGCCUUGUACACACCGCCCGUCAAGCCAUGGGAGCCGGGGGUACCUGAAGUACGUAACCGCAAGGAUCGUCCUAGGGUAAAACUGGUGACUGGGGCUAAG